UACGAAGGGGGCUAGCGUUGUUCGGAAUUACUGGGCGUAAAGCGCGCGCAGGCGGUCUUCCAAGUCAGUGGUGAAAGCCCGGAGCUCAACUCCGGAAUUGCCAUUGAAACUGUUAGACUUGAGGAUGAGAGAGGUGAGUGGAAUUCCCAGUGUAGAGGUGAAAUUCGUAGAUAUCAGGAGGAACACCGGUGGCGAAGGCGGGUCUCUGGGCAACAACUGACGCUGAGGAGCGAAAGCGUGGGGAGCGAACAGG
rnacentral:rRNA from 1 species